rnacentral:rRNA from 1 species
UCUAUGGAUGAAAGCGGGGGAUCGCAAGACCUCGCGCGAUUGGAGCGGCCGAUGUCAGAUUAGCUAGUUGGUGGGGUAAAGGCCCACCAAGGCGACGAUCUGUAGCUGGUCUGAGAGGACGACCAGCCACACUGGGACUGAGACACGGCCCAGACUCCUACGGGAGGCAGCAGUGGGGAAUUUUGGACAAUGGGCGCAAGCCUGAUCCAGCAAUGCCGCGUGCAGGAAGAAGGCCUUCGGGUUGUAAACUGCUUUUGUACGGAACGAAAAGGUCUGGGUUAAUACCCUGGGCUCAUGACGGUACCGUAAGAAUAAGCACCGGCUAACUACGUGCCAGCAGCCGCGGUAAUA